rnacentral:tRNA from 1 species
GGCGACGUGGCCAAGUGGUAAGGCAGAGGCCUGCAAAGCCUUUAUUCGCCGGUUCAAAUCCGGCCGUCGCCUCCA